AAGUUUUAUUUUCUAAUGCAAGUUUUCAUUACAUUGUUGUGUGAUUUUUAGGAUGUUUUUGGUGAUUGUCUGUUUUUUAUCGCUUCACUAUGUGGUUGUCGGGAUGUUUUUGGUGGUUUCCUGUGUAUUGACUUGUGUUCGCCAAGGUUUUCUGAACGGUUGUUUGUGUUGCGUCGUGGUUGCUGGACUCCUCGGUUUGGUUUUUCAUGCGUCGCUAUGUGCUUGUCAGGAUGUUUUGAGUUUCUGGUUGACAUGCGGUUGUCUUAAACAGUUGAGUAGGGUAGGUUAGGGUCCCUCACACGGUUUGCAGCUUGACGUGCUGUGAGGGCUUGUGUGCAUCAGUGAUGCUGAGAGCUACGCCACUGGUACUUCACAACUACUGGUAGGGUCACCCAUAGUGGACAGGUCUCAGCUGAGAUGCCAGACGAAGACAAACCACCUGAUUCUGGACAGCAGCAGACUGACCUGAUGUUCCUGGCAGAAGAUCACAGUCUUGUGUUUACGGUUGAAGAAAUAAAGUCGUACAGGUUUGGAACGACAUGAGGAAAUGAUCAGCCUCCGUUAAGUGAGGAAAACAUCUAACAGCAGAGUGUAAAGCACCACUUACCCGUCAUUACUGAUAUCAACAGCUGCUACAGAAUGACGGGAGAAAACUAGAUGAACAGAGAAAGACACUUAGACAUGACCAGACUACACCGCAUUCGCUAUUAAUGUGGAGCGCAUAGAAACCUAGAUACAGUAGACAUUUUCAGGUUGCUGAAAUUUACCCACAACAGGAUCAGCUGUCAGUUUACAGACUGAUAUGACAUCUUCU
ensembl:lncRNA